UGGGGAAUUUUGGACAAUGGGGGAAACCCUGAUCCAGCCAUCCCGCGUGUGCGAUGAAGGCCUUCGGGUUGUAAAGCACUUUUGGCAGGAAAGAAACGUCAUGGGUUAAUACCCCGUGAAACUGACGGUACCUGCAGAAUAAGCUCCGGCUAACUACGUGCCAGCAGCCGCGGUAAUACGUAGGGUGCAAGCGUUAAUCGGAAUUACUGGGCGUAAAGCGUGCGCAGGCGGUUCGGAAAGAAAGAUGUGAAAUCCCAGAGCUCAACUUUGGAACUGCAUUUUUAACUACCGGGCUAGAGUGUGGCAGAGGGAGGUGGAAUUCCGCGUGUAGCAGUGAAAUGCGUAGAUAUGCGGAGGAACACCGAUGGCGAAGGCAGCCUCCUGGGAUAACACUGACGCUCAUGCACGAAAGCGUGGGGAGCAAACAGG
rnacentral:rRNA from 1 species